rnacentral:rRNA from 1 species
UACAGAGGUCCCAAGCGUUGUUCGGAUUCACUGGGCGUAAAGGGUGCGUAGGUGGCCGGGUAAGUUUGAUGUGAAAGCUCAGGGCUUAACCCUGAAAUGGCAUUGAAUACUACCGUGCUGGAGGUUUGGAGGGGGGGACUGGAAUUCUUGGUGUAGCAGUGAAAUGCGUAGAUAUCAAGAGGAACACCAGUGGCGAAGGCGAGUCCCUGGACAACACCUGACACUGAGGCACGAAAGCUAGGGGGAGCAAACAGG